rnacentral:rRNA from 1 species
UUUCUCCGCCGGCGACCGGCGCACGGGUGAGUAACACGUAUGCAACCUGCCCCUGUCAGGGGGGACAAACCCGGCCGAAAGGCGGGCUAAACCCGCGUACAUGCCACCGGGGCAUCCCGGAGGCAGGAAAGGCUUCGGCCGGACAGGGAUGGGCAUGCGGCGCAUUAGGCAGUAGGCGGGGUAACGGCCCACCUAACCGACGAUGCGUAGGGGUUCUGAGAGGAAGGUCCCCCACACUGGUACUGAGACACGGACCAGACUCCUACGGAAGGCAGCAG